rnacentral:rRNA from 1 species
UACGUAGGGCGCAAGCGUUAUCCGGAAUUAUUGGGCGUAAAGAGCUCGUAGGCGGUUUGUCGCGUCUGCCGUGAAAGACCGGGGCUCAACUCCGGUUCUGCAGUGGGUACGGGCAGACUAGAGUGAUGUAGGGGAGACUGGAAUUCCUGGUGUAGCGGUGAAAUGCGCAGAUAUCAGGAGGAACACCGAUGGCGAAGGCAGGUCUCUGGGCAUUAACUGACGCUGAGGAGCGAAAGCAUGGGGAGCGAACAGG